GGCGAUCGUUUCUGAUCUGAGCUUUGCCAGGAGAAAGGAGACAUCUGGGUGAUAGAGCGCAGAGACAGAUGGUAGGGGCGCCGGGGCUUCUCCAAUCAUGUGGCCGAUAUCAACACUCACUGUGCGAGCGGAGAUGUGAAGGACCUACGGAACAGACUACAACUCCCAGAAGUCGGUGCAGCUCUGUGUAAU